rnacentral:lncRNA from 1 species
CGCUCUUACGUUCUCCGGGAGGGAAACCCAAUUGAUCAAAUGCUCUUCGUGCUGCAAGGCAAGUUAUGGACCUACACUUCCAGGAGCAUAACUGGAUUCUCAAGCAAUUCUGGUAACCUGAACAACCAUCUGGAAGAUGGUGACUUUUCUGGAGAAGAACUCAUUGCUUGGGCAAAGGCUGACCGCGACUCAUCCAACCUCCCUAUAUCAACUAAAACAAUUCAAGCUCUUACAAAUGUUGAAGCAUUUGUUCUUAUGGCAGAUGAUUUAAAGCAGGUACUAUUGAAUAUUGAUCAUUAAGCAAAACAUUGCACUGGAUGUAUACAUGUAUUCUGACAAACUAGAUGGAGUGCACAAGCGUCCGCACAAGGAACGCCACCAUCCAACCUCCCUAUAUCAACUAAAACAAUUCAAGCUCUUACAAAUGUUGAAGCAUUUGUUCUUAUGGCAGAUGAUUUAAAGCAGGUACUAUUGAAUAUUGAUCAUUAAGCAAAACAUUGCACUGGAUGUAUACAUGUAUUCUGACAAACUAGAUGGAGUGCACAAGCGUCCGCACAAGGAACGCCACCAUCGCCAUCUACAAUAAUAUUUGGGCGUUCAGAUCUGGUACAGCAACGUUAGUAUUUUAGGCCUUGUUCAUGAUCUUAAUUAAGGACCUAUCUCAAUAAUAAAUUUGGACGAAAGUAUUUGAGUUUGAGAUAUUAGAAACCGAAGCCUGAUACAGUUGAUGUGUAUAUAUAUGAAGUUAGCAAAACUCCUUUAUAGUGUUUGAUUAUAUAUAGUGUUUGAAAUUAAAUUUAAGGAUUAGUCUUUAACAAAUGAGAUUUCUUAUCUCCAUUUAAGGAUUAGUCUUUAACAAAUGAGAUUUCUUAUCUCCAUUUAAAACCUUUAUUAGUAUAAUACAAUUUCAAAAAAAAUUUAAAUAACAAUAUAUGACCCUUGAUUUAUUUUUUACACAAAAUUUCAGUGUUUGAACUAGCAGAAAGUAAGUUCAAUUUGUGAACUAGAGAUGAGCACUGAACUUUUCAUAAUUUUAACACUCAAAUGGGAUAUUUUUAUAAAUUCUAAGGAAGAAAGGUCAGUGGUCAUCAAAAAGUUUCUAAAACCACCUGGGACACAGGCCCCAACUGUUCCUACCAUUGCUCAAAUUUGUAAUAGGCAUCGUGACAUUGUUCACAAGUUUGGAUUUGGAUCCUUAACAAGUUCAUAUUUCUAAGGCUUAUAUUUAUCUUGAGCAAAAAGCACAAAGAUCCAAUUCUACUAGUGAGCAAAAAGCACAAAGGGACGUGAUAGAGUUGCAGCCUCUUGGGGCCAAAAUUUUGGUUAAUGAACCGUAGAUUGAGAUUAUGCAUAUGGAUAAGUUCUAACCUCAAGUCGUAGCUAUUAGUUGCCUCCGGCCCCAGCUCAAUCAACAGGUGCUACAGAAAUUACAUAAUUAUUGAAUUUUUUUUUUUUUUGGUUGUUUGAUUGAUUGUGUAAGAAGUCAAUGUCUUGAGGAACCACAGUGCGUAGAUAUUUAUUAGCGCAUAGGAUAAGCAUGCUCUGAACUCCGAAGACUCAGCCACUGAAGUGAUGAUUUGUGAAGGAUCCACCUGUAUUUAAUUGAAGGAAACUGAAAUUAAGCUUCGCUUCAUUUACUUAAAUUUUCCUUCCCCUUGGUUGAUUAUGUAAGCCUUAAGCGAGUUGUUUAUUAAUUUGACGAUAUACGUAUAGAGCCUUACUGAGCUGAGGUACAGGCCAUAUGUUAUUACAAUUAUUGUAUAUGGUGAUGACGAUGAAGUUGAUUUUAUUUUUUCAGGUCUCAGCACUCGAAUUUAGAGGAAGGAACGCCGAGACUGGUUGCUGGUGUUGAAAUGGACAGCAUCAGUAGGAGCGAGAGAGAAGCAACAGUAUCUGCUUUUCGAACUGUGAUCGAAAGCUUGGGUAAUGGAGAAAAAACAUCUCUUCGGCAGAUUCGUAAUCUGCCGAGACGUUUCCUGGAUGCUACGAGACGUUACCCGGAUGCUAAUUUUUGGCUGAUUUAUGUGUAUUCCAUAAUAUUUGAUCCUGUUUUCUUGUACCUUCCCGUGAUCAACGAUGGCAAAAAGUGCUUCCAAUUUGACAUAGCCCUUAUGAUUUUGGUUAUUGUUGAACGUACAGCAUAUGAUAUAUUGUUUUUGAUGAAAAAAGCUUUACGAAUAGGGGAGAAUGUACAUCGAAAUUUUAGCAAAUCUCGGUUGGCCGUCUUCCUAUUUGAUCUCGCCUUCAUUUUUCCACUCCCACAGGUAAAUGUUUGUUCUGUCGUACUUUUUACUUAUUUGUUCCAACUAGCCAAGCAAGGGCACACGCGCAUACCUAUGGGCGCCCAAAAGUAAUUUAUGUUGGAUUCCUAGCAAGCACGCAUAGGUUGUAAUUUGUACGAUUAAUUUCCAUUUUUUUUUUUCCUUUUCAUAUGGAAUCAUAUUUCAUAAUUGAUAAUUCUAUCUUUAUGGUGUACAAACUGUUCAGGUGUUGGUGCUUCUAGUUUAUAAUCGACUAAUGAAUGUCCAGCAAUUUUUCCAUGUGAUGAACCUGUUUAUCGUCCAACAUUUGCUAAAGGUUAAGCGAUUGUAUGCAUUGAUUAAAAAAAGGAAGAAUUCAUAUAAGCAUACUAAAUGGGCCAGACUUACGUUCAAUCUCUUUUACCUACAUGCUGCUAAUGUAAGUUUACUUGCCUCCCAAGUCUCCAAUAUAUUCUAUUUCUCUUUACUCUUUUUUGGGUAAUUUAUAAUUCCUGAUGAUCUACUUGAUGGUUGUUUAGGGGUUUGGAGCAUUAUGGUACUUUUUUGCUCUACAAAGAAAGACCGAAUGUUGGAGGAAAGCCUGCACAGGUUCUACCAAAUGCCGUCUCCUUCCUUUGCACUGUGACAACAGUUUAACAAACUACACAUUUUCUAAUGAUUUUUGCUCUACAAAGACUCAAAAUGCAACUAUCUAUGAUUUUGGGAUAUACGUUGAUGCUAUUAAUUCUGGUGUUAUGGAGCAAAACAGUUUAUCUCUGAGGUUCUUGCUUUGUAUUCGAUGGAGCCUGCAAAAUCUCAGGUUAAGUUGUGGAUAUACAUCAUUCUCCUUGUAACAAUCUUUGUGCAUAUGCCUUUCUAUGUUUUUUGGGCAUAAAAUUACGCAUACGUAUUUUUAUGUUUUUUUAGCAAUUAAACUCAAAAACAUUGGUUCUAAAUUUCUAAUAAAUUUGUGGGUUUGACUUUUGCAGUUCUUUUGGUCAAGGUCUCCCAUUCAGUACUAAUGUCUUGGAAAACUUCUUUGUGAUUUCAAUUACCAUCACUGGAGUAGUGCUGUUUUUCUUCUUGAUUGGAAAGGUCCAGGUUGGUGUAUCUUUAUUUUAUGUUAUUUUAUUUUUUUCUCGUCUGAUUCUUGUCUCUUAAAAUUGGUUCUUUAUGCUUGAUUGAGAUGAAGCGCAAUAAAUUUUAAUUUUCCAUAAACCAUUAUUCUCGCGCAAUGUGCAGUAUGAAAUGUCAAAAGCAGAGGAGAUAAGACAGAAGGUACAAGAAAUACACCAGUGGCCGCCCUUUGGAAAGCUCCCUAAGGAACUCCAAAAGAAGGUCAGGAGACAUGCGGCAUCCAAAUUGCGAGGAACCACAGGGGUUGAUGUAGAAAUGGUGAAUAAUCUUCCAGAGGACCUCAGAAAGAGCAUAAAACAAAACCUCUGCUUAGACCUGCUAAAAAAUGUGAGUAAGAAAUCUUUACAACUAUAUUUGUCCCUCCUACUUCUGAAUUUGUGGAACUGACAAAGAAGAGGCUGGCAACAUAUAAACAGCAAUCCGAAAAACUAAUGAAAAUAUUUUCCUCUUCUUUAACUCAAUCGAAUAAACUCAAGGGUAAAUGUUUGUAACUAUUUGAACUUCUGCAUGGUUUUGAAAGCGCAAUAGCUAAGGUUCACAUCACCUCAAUGGAAACUCAAGCCUGACAUGUGUUUAGUGAUGGGGAAUGAAUCUCAUUUUAGCUGAGAUAGUUCUAGAUCAAUUUUUAUUCUCUUCAUUCAGAAGCUGAAUUUCAUUAUCAGCAUCGAGCCUUCUAGAUUAUAGUAAUGAUAUUGGAUGUAUGUUUGUUUAGGCAGAAGAGUUUGGAAAGCAGGAUGUUUCAUCGUUGAAGAAACUGUGUGAUGUUGUGAAGCCAGUUGUCUUCACAGCGCGCUCUUACAUUCUCCAGGAGGGAAACCCAAUUGAUCAAAUGCUCUUCGUGCUGCAAGGCAAGUUAUGGACCUACACUUCCAGGAGCAUAGCUGGAUCCUCAAGCAAUUCUGGUAACCUGAACAACCAUCUGGAAGAUGGUGACUCUGCUGGAGAAGAACUCAUUGCUUGGGCGAAGGCUGACCGCGACUCAUCCAACCUCCCUCUAUCAACUAAAACAAUUCAAGCUCUUACAAAUGUUGAAGCAUUUGUUCUAAUGGCAGAUGAUUUGAAGCAGUUGCUUUUGAAUAUUGAUCAUUAAGCAAAACAAUGCAGCUCGCUGCAUACAAGUAUUCCGACAAACUAGAAAGAAUGCACAAGCGUCCGCACAAUGAACGCCACCAUCGCCAUCUACAAUAAUAUUUUGGGCAUUCAGAUCUGGUGCAGCAACGUUAGUAUUUUAGGCCUUGUUCAUGAUCUUAAUUAAGGACCUAUCUCAAGAAUAAAUUUGGACGAGAGUAUUUUGAGUUUGAGAUAUUAGAAACCGAUGCCUGAUACGGUUGAUGUGUAUAUAUAAAGCUAUCAAAACUCCUCUACAGUGUUGAUUAUAUAUAUAUAUAUUUAUGCUAAUUUCAAGUUCGGAUUGCAGUAUGGAGCAAAGUUUUCAUGUUUCAACCGACGAUUCAUUUUGUUCCAUUUUAAAAUCACACUAAUUUGCAUAUAAUGCGUCCCUGAUUUUAAUAUUUAUUCCAUAUUAUAAUGGUUUUUGAGGAUGAGAGAGUCCGUGCCCUCGUUGAAAAUUUCAUUAAUCGACCCAUUGCUGAGAUGGCCAUUGGCAAAACUACUGUAAUAAAAGAAAAUCUAACUUCACCCAUAAUCAUAUGACUUUCAUCUAGUUUAAAAGUAAGCUAUUAAAAUAAGUGGUCAUCUGUUAUAUACAAAGUGCUUUACCCGUGUAAACUCCUUGUAUGAGCAUAUUGAACUUAUAACUUCUGAGAUUAGUGCCCGACAGAUACCUUCGAAUUCAAUUUUUUUGCAGUUCUUUUGGUCAAGGUCUCCAAACAAGUGCCAAUCCAUGGGAAAACAUCUUUGCAGUUUGCAUUAGUGUAUCUAGCAUGUGGCUACUUGUUAUUUUUGUUGGACAAAUCCUGGUUCAUCAUUUUUUUUUUUUUAUCUCCAAGAUAGUUUUAUCUGCUGCUUAAGAUGAAGCGCAGUGACUUUUAAUUUCUAUGGACUCUAGUCUUUUUGAAACAGACUUAUUCACAGUCAGUCUGAACUUGUAAGACCAGUGGGGAUGACACAGAAGGGGACAGAGUUAGGGCAGUGGCUGCCCUAUAGAAAGCUUUCUCUAAAACUUCAACAGCCGAUUCAGUACCUGCUAUACCAAUUGCAAGAAACCAUUGGUUUUGAUAUAGAAAGUUUGAUCAAUCGUCUUCCAAAGGACCUUGGAAGGGAGAUAAAAUAUGAACUCUGCUUAGAACUCCUCAAGAAAGUGGGUUUUAAUUUUAUUAUUGCUGUUAUUAUCCAAUAGAACUGCUCUGCUUUGUACAUCAUUGUGAGUUCUAUUCAAUACCACAUUAUAAUUGCUUGAGAUGGUACGUCUGUAUUCUCAUUGUUGUUCUUGUAUGUAAUCAAGAUGGGAAAAUUUGGAAAGUGGAAGAGAGCAUUGCUGGAGGAUCUGUGUGAUUUUGUUCAGCCAGUUACCUACAUGGGGCACGCUUACAUUGUCCAUGAAGGAGACCCAAUUGAUAAGGCACUUUUGGUGGUGCAAGGUAAGCUACGGAUCUACAACUCCGGAAAUGUAACAAAAGCCUCCCCAGGCACUAAUAAUUAUCUUAAAGAUGGCGACAUUUGUGGAGAAGAACUUGUCGCUUGGGUUCAGGAUGCUUGCACUACAAUUGACCAUUUUUCAUCUGACCUCCCUACCUCAACAGGAACCAUUCAAGCACUUACAAAAGUUGAAGCCUUUGUUCUCACAGCCGAUGAUUUAUUACUCUUUGAGCAGAAACGAGUAGCUCCAUUCAUUAAAGCAGCUCGAUUUUUAAAAUUAUUCCAGGACAUUGUAAAAAGAAUUUUCUCAUUUUCUGGUAGCCAUGGACAGAUCGAUACUCAGGUGUAAGGGCAAACCAACAAUGCUUCAGCCUGCCAUCUCAACCAGAGCUAUUCAAGCAUAAAGUUGAAGCCUUUUGUCUAUGGCUGAUGACUUGAAAAAUGUGUCACUCAUUAAGCCUAGUCGGGCAGCUCUAUUCAUCCAAGCAACUUGAUUCAUAAAAUUGCUCAUGGGCGCUGUGAAAGGAACUUAAUUUCUCUCAUUCUACAAGGAAUGCAGAAACGUCUAGACAGAGCGCCCCACAAUUACGUGUGCAUUUGAGGCAGCUGCGCUGCAAUAUCCUCCUAGAAUAUAGGCAGCUGCUCCCUGUUAAGGAAGCAGAGUAGUCAGUGGAGCAGAGGAUUGCAACACCUGCAGCUUGCUGUUACAGGUUGAUGACAUGGCUUGCCAGCUGGAGCCUGGUGGUUAUAUAGUCUCUUGCACACGUGAAGAUUAGUAGGUUUGUUAUAGUAUUUCUUGUGCUUGUAAUUCAGUUUUAAUUAGUUAUAACCAGCUGAUUAGCACUUGCAAUUAGUUGAGAAUUAGUUCUAAUUACUACUGAUGUAUAUAAACAGAAGUAUGUACAGAUUCAGUCAAUUAAUGACUUGAGAUAAUAAAAACGAAGAAAGAGUUUUAGAAUUCUCUUAUUUUCCCUUAAGUUUUUUCUGUUUCCAAACAUCAUUGAAUUCUUACUUGGUAUCAGAGCCAGCCAAUAAUGGCGUCUGUUAAUCUUGCUUCUUCUUCCUCAAUUUAAACUCUUAAUCAUGCUACAAAUUCAACAACUGUUUCCUUUACCUUUAACACACCAGUCAAGCUUGAUCAGUCCAAUUAUCUCAUAUGGCGAUCUCAAGUCCUAGCCUCAAUUCGUGGAAACAGGCUCGAAAAGUUUAUUGAUAAUGCAGUCACUCCACCUCCAUCUCAUAUAGCUCAGAGAGUUGAUGAUAAACUCAGAUCUGUAAAGAAUCCAGAAUUCACAACAUGGAGAUCUCAAGAUCAAGUGAUGCUUGGAUGGCUGCUCUCUUCAAUGAGUGAAGGAAUCAUUAGUCUAGUGUUCAACCUGGAAACAUCACUUGAAGUGUGGAAAACUAUUAAGGUACAAUUUGGCUCGCAGUCUAAAUCCAGACUUUUACAUCUAAGAUACAUGAUGAAUUCAACAAGGAAAGAUAUGAUGAAUUCAACAAAAAAAGAUGAUAUGAAAAUCACAGACUAUUUUAUUAAGAUGAAAAACAUAGCUGAUAAUAUGGCUGCAGCAGGAAGUGCUUUAAGUAGUGAUAAUCUGAUUUUACAUGUAUUAUCUAGCCUAGGACCAGAUUAUAAUUCAGUAGCUACUUACAUUACUGGUCAAGUAGGAGUUGGUAAAAUGAAUGUAAAUGAAGCCUAUGCUAUGUUGUUAACUCAAGAGGCUAGGAUUGAACAACAAUCACAAAUGCUUGCUGGUGUGGAUAUGAAAAACAAUUUUUGAGGCAAAUUAUGCUCAAAAUAGAGGAGUUAAGAAGGGAAACAUAUCAGGUGGAAGAGGUUUUGGUGGUUAUGGCUAUAACUCUGGGUUUGGAAAUGGUGGUUAUUACAAAGGAAACUUUGGCACUGAAUCUACUAGUGGUGGUACUGGUUUUAAUAGUCAGUUCAAAGGUUAUCAAUCUGGUAAUCAAAUAGGAGGAGGAGGAGGAAACUAGAACAAUAACACUGGAGUUAACAAUUUUAACAAUGGGAAACCACCUAUGAACUCUAAACCUCAGUGGAAUACUUCAAAACCUACCUGCUAAAUCUGCCUCAAGCCUGGACAUACUGCAAACAUUUGUUGGAAGCUGGAAGAAUUCAUUGCUUUAGGCUCUUACAGAUCACCUCCAAAUAGAGGACCAAAGGCUGCCUAUUUAGCCAACAUGGAUGCUCCAGCUGAUACUAAUUAGUAUCUUGACAGUGGUGCUACACACCACCUCACUAAUGAUAUGAGCAAUAUGAAUAUGGCUGAACCUUUUACAGGUACUUCUAAACUUGUCAUUGGUAAUGGUGUUGGUUUAUUCAUAACACAUACAGGUUCUGCUGUUUUGAGAAUGAAAAGCUCUAUAAAUCAUGUUGAUCUUAAGCUAAACAAUAUUCUUCUUGUGCCUAAAAUAACCAAAAACCUGAUAUGUAUAUCAAAACUAACCAGAGAUAAUGAUGUUGUGGUAGAAUUUACUAAUGAUUUCUGUUUUGUUAAGGACAAGGUGAGGAAUUUGAUCAUGCUGCAGGGCAAAGCUGAAAAAGGAUUGUACAGAUUGCUAUUUGUCUCCUCAAAUAAAACCUCUCCUUAUCUGUCAAACCAAGGUCUUUUUGCUCAUGUUCAGUCAGAUGUCUCAACUCAACCUAUUUCCAUGUUUUCUGUUGUUGAUUCUAAAUGUCAAAAUAAAAUUGCUUCUCAGUUACAAACUGAAGCACAAUGUAGUCAAAACUCAGAUUGUAUGUUGAGUACUAUGGUUUUACACCAAAGAUUAGGUCAUCCCAAUGCUAGAGUGUUGAAUCAUGUUAUCAAUUCUUGUCCAUCUUUUAAAACCAUCGAUGGUAAUAAAGGUUUUGAUUCUUGUGAUGCUUGUAAGUUGGGAAAAAUGCACAAACUUCAUUUUCCAGUAACUGAAACCAAAACAAAAAAUGCACUUGAAAUCUUACAUACAGAUCUAUGGGGGCCUGCUCUUACACUUUCUAUACAAGGAUAUAAAUAUUAUAUCAGCUUUGUAGAUGAUUACACAAGAUUCACCUGGAUCUUUCCUUUAAAAACCAAAGUUGAAGCAUUUCCAGUGUUCAAAGUUUUCAAAGCUCAAGUAGAGAAACAAUUAGAUAAACCUAUCAAGUGUCUUCAAUCUGAUUGGGGUGGUGAGUAUAGAUCACUUGUUCAUUUUCUUUAAACAGAGGGGAUUCAGUUUAGACACUCCUAUCCAUAUACUCACAAUCAAAAUGGACUUGUGGAAAGAAAACAUAGACACAUCACUGAGUUGGGUUUAACCUUGCUUGCACAAGCCAAGUUACCUAUAAAAUUUUGGUGGGAUUCUUUUCAUACAGCUACCCACAUUAUAAACAAACUUCCAACUCCUGUUCUUUCCUUGAAAACCCCUUAUGAAUAUCUAUUCCAUCAAAAACCAGACUAUCCAUUUCUCAAAACUUUUGGUUGUGCUUGUUUUCCUUUCUUAAGAGAUUGCAAUCAUCACAAGUUUCACUUCCAUACUUCUAAAUGUGUUUUCUUAGGAUACAGCCCUUUACACAAAGGCUACAAGUGUCUUCAUCCAUCAGGAAGAAUUUACAUAGCUAGUCAUGUUUUUUUUUAUGAAACUUCCUUUCCAUAUUCUACUGAUUCUACCUUCUUACAGUCUAUGCCAUCUAAAUCUUCUGACUUCCUUUAUAAUUCCUUACAAGUAUAUCACAUCUCAGUUCCUAAUAGCAAUCAGAAUCCUUUAGCAGCUGCUCCUGCAGAUACAGAUUCUCAUGCCUCCAGUUCUACUCACAACAUCAUCUCUCUUCCUAUUCCUACAUCACAAGUAAUUUCCACCUCACUGAUUUCACCAAAUAAUACUAUAUCUUCACCCAUUGUCCACACAACAUCACCAGCUGCUACCAUAAACAUUAUACCAAACACUACAACUUCACCUGCAAUACUACAAAAUUCACCUUCCAGAUCACUUCCCUCAGCUACAACCAUAAACACUCAUUCUAUGAUUACUAGAGCUAAAGCUGGCAUAUUCAAACCAAAGGCCUUCUUGACAGAUCAUAACAGCCUAGAACCUUCCAAUGCUGGAGAAGUCUUAUCUGAUACUAAGUGGAAGGCAGCAAUGCAAGAUGAAUAUAAUGCUCUCAUUAGAAACAAAACCUGGAGCUUAGUACCAAUGAAUCCCGAAUACAAGUUAGUAGGCUGCAAGUGGGUUUUUAGAACUAAAUACAAUACUGAUGGUUCAGUCUCUAAGUACAAAGCUCGCUUAGUUGCAAAAGGGUUUCACCAAACUGCUGGGAUAGAUUACUCAGAAACUUUUAGUCCUGUAGUGAAAUCUUCUACUGUCAGGGUUAUUCUUAGCUUGGCAGUCAUGCAAGGCUAGAAUGUUAGACAAAUUGAUGCCAAUAACGCAUUUCUUAAUGGGGAUCUCAUUGAGGAUGUGUACAUGCAACAGCCAGAGGGUUUUGUUUCAGAGGGAGGAUACAUCUGUAAACUAAACAAAGCUCUUUAUGACUUAAAACAAGCUCCAAGAGCCUGGUAUGAUAAGUUUAAGGGAUGUCUUACAAGUUGGAAAUUCACUAAUUCUAAGGCUGAUACUUCUCUGUUUAUUAGGCAUGAUGUCAAAGGCAUAAUUCUUGUCUUAAUAUAUGUGGAUGACAUUCUGAUCACUGGACCAGAUUCAGACUUGCUGGAAUCUUUUAUUGCUAAGCUCAGCAAAGUUUUUGCAUUAAAAGACUUGGGUCUAGUAACAUAUUUCCUUGGUGUAGAAGUCAGCUAUACAGAUCAUGGAAUGCACUUCCCUCAGACCAAGUACAUCAAGGAUCUGCUGUCCAAAGCCUCAAUGCAAGACUACAAAGGAACUGACACUCCUUUCAGCACAGGCUACAAGUUGGAAAGGUCAACAAAAGGCUUAUUGGGUGCUGAAUUUGAGAAUCCAACCCUCUAUAGAAGCAUUGUUGGAGGUUUGCAAUACUUAAUCUUAACCACACCAGACAUUGCAUAUUUAGUGCAUAAGCUUAGUCAGUACCUCAGUGCUCCUACACUUCAACACUGGUUAGCUUGUAAAAAAGUGCUCAGAUACCUUCAAGCUACUGUCACAUAUGGUCUCUAUAUUUAGCAGGAGGGAACUCUGGAAACUAUAGGACUAACAGGAUAUUCAGAUGCUGAUUGGGCAUGUGAUAUUGAUGCCAAAAAAUCCAUUGGAGCAUAUUGCAUUUUCCUUGGUAAUAAUUUGGUUUCCUGGUCUUCAAAAAAGCAAGCCAUUGUAGCAAAAUCUAGUACUGAGAGUGAAUACAGAGCCUUGUCAGCAGCCAGCUCUAAACUUUCUUGGCUGCAAUCAUUAUUCUCUGAGCUCAACAUCACAAAAUUACCAACUUCUGUUCUAUGGUGUGAUAACCAGAGUGCUGGAGAUCUACCUAGAAAUCUAGUUUUUCACUCAAAAUCAAAACACAUAGAGCUAGACAUUCAUUAUAUUAGAGACAAGGUUCUUAACAAAGAAUUGGAAGUGAGGUACAUUCCCACUAAAGAGCAAGUUGCAGAUGUUCUUACUAAGCCCCUGUCAUUUCCUAAGUUUAGUUAUUUUCGUUCCAAGCUCAAUGUGUUCAACAGACCCUUGAGCUUGAGAGGGGAUGUUAAGGAAGCUCACAUGAGCAGAGUAGUCAGUGGAGCAGAGGAUUGCAACACCUGCAGCUUGCUGUUACAGGUUGAUGACAUGGCUUGCCAGCUGGAGCCUGGUGGUUAUAUAGUCUCUUGCACACAUGAAGAUUAGUAGAGUUUGUUAUAGUAUUUAUUGUGCUUGUAAUUCAGUUUUAAUUAGUUAUAACCAGCUGAUUAGCACUUGCAAUUAGUUGAGAAUCAGUUCUAAUUACUACUGAUGUAUAUAAACAGAAGUAUGUACAGAUUCAGUCAAUUAAUGACUUGAGAUAAUAAAAACGAAGAAAGAGUUUUAGAAUUCUCUUAUUUUCCCUUAAGUUUUUUCUGUUUCCAAACAUCAUUGAAUUCUUACUCUCCCCCAAACAUACCCUAUGUCUAGGCAGCUUGUGGAACCUCAUUUUAUUGCUAAAGAAAAAUAGGCUGGUCACACCCUAUGCUUGUUAUAAUAAGCUUAUUGUCAUUGAUUUUUAUUUUAAAUACAAAUUACAUCUCGUUUCUAAGCUAUUGAAUAAAUCUCGUGAAAGUAGUUUGUACACUGACUAUUGUUGUUACAUAUAUUUGGAAAUUUAGAGAACUAUUGAUGGCUUUAUGGUCCCUGCGUUUUGCUUUCCGCUGCAAGAAUUUAAGGCCAGUAUGAUGCAUAAAAGAGAAAGUUUUAAGUAGAAAUGGGGCAGAUUAUUAUAUAUUUUCAAGAUUUUUUCCCCUCCAAUUUCGGUGAGUUUAAUUAACCAAGGUUGAUUCACACAACGGAGAGGGGAAAAAAAAAAUAGGGUUCAAGUUUUAUCAAUUUUCAUCCACAACAUGGGUCCCUUUGAAAAACGGUCAGUGGUGUUGGAUCACCGAUCAUUUAGUCCAAAGUAAACCAUUCAAAGAAAAAUUUGUCUAUUGUCUGUCGACAGUAUCGUCCCGUUAUUGCACACUUCUUUUUGUCCUGAGCUAGCUCUUGAUUGAAUAGUUAGAUCUGAACUAACAUUUUUUUUUUUCGUGGCUGACUAAAGAAGACAAAGACUCUUAUCAAAUUGCCCGUAGUGGAAAAAUUUUAGGUAGCGCGGUACAAAAAUUUAGUAAGAUAGGAUUAGAUGGGGCCAUAGAUAACACAGCACAAAUGUCACACGUAAGACUGCAAAAUCCAAGUCUUUCAAAAGUAAAUUUGGCUGUGGGUAUUUGUGAUUAAUCCUUGAACCGAAAAAUUAGAAAUUGCUCUAAAAAUUGUAGAGCUAGAAAAAAGUAGAAAUUAGUGCAGAACACUCUAUAUUAAAUAAUUUAAUAGAAGAAAGAUUAGAAAAUACAAAAUUUCUAGUAGAUUGCACAUCUCCAUUAGACCCUAUAAUAAUAAUUAAAAAAAGUAAGUGUUAGAUAUUACACUCUUACGUACUUAUCUAUAGUAAAACAUAAUUACAAUAGGCAACUAAAUUUAUUAGAUCAUAUGAAAAUGUAAUUUUAAAAAUUAGAAAUAAACUAGAAUAGUUAAAGAAUUAGUUUAUGAAUUUUCAAAAACUAGCAUAUUUGGAUUUACAAAUUAGUAGUCAUAGGAAAAUAAAAUUAAACUUAAUCAUAAUAUAGAGCAUUUAGAAAAUCAAUAUAAACAUAUUCCAUAUACGAGUAAUGGUCAACAAUAGACUUAAUAAUUAAUCUUGGACAGCACUUAGAAGUUAAACUAGAAAAGCUUAAAGAACUAGUAUUACGGUUAGGACAAUUUUUUGAAGCAAGUAACAUAAAAUACACAAAGAAAGAAUUUAGACUAUAUUAAAGAGUCAUUAGCUGAUUUUAAUAGUCAAAUUACAAGGUUCGGUAAUAAAAAAGAAAUAAUAGAAUUAAUAAAAUUAUUAGACAUAAAAGCACCUAAACUAGUAGAAUUAUAAAUCAAAAGUCUUGUAAAAGUUUUAAAAGUUGAAAUAAAAAUAUUAAAAAUACACAAAGAGAUUUACAAAUACAAUUAAAUUCAAUAAAAUUAAUAGUAAAUGAAUGAGUUUAGAUAAACCGUUAAUAGAGUUCCACAAACAUUUAUCUGUAGUAAAAAAGUAGGAUAUAAUUUUAUUUUAGGAUUAAAUUUUAUAUUAGAAGAUAACAGUAGUAUAUUAACAACUACUAAUGAGAUAAAUUUCUUUAAAAAAUCAACAUUUGUACAACCUAAAUUUGAGAUGCAUAUUUUGCCUUACGAAAAGAAAUCACUAGCAAUGGAAAAAGAAGUAGAUAUUGCAUUUUUUGACUCACUAUCGGAGGAAGAAAAUGCAGUAGAUAGCAAGAUAGAAAGCACUAAGAAUUACAUAAUUAAGUUACACAGAGAUUUAAUAAUUAUAGAAAAAUAGGUAAUCCAUAAUUAGAAGAUAUAGAAAUAAAUAUGCCUAUAGUAAAAAAUUUAAAUACAGAUAAAGAGAAAACUCUACAUAAUAUUAGAGAUAAGAUUAUAGAAUUAAUAUUUAAUAAUCCUAAAAAAUGUUUAGAUGAAGAAUUAUUUGAAGAAUUAUGUAAUAAUGAGGAAUUAACAUAUGAUGAUGUAGAUUAAAAAAAUUCCUAUUUCUUUAAGUUUUUGUAUUAAUUUAAUAUCUUCACUAUAAAAUUUAAAAUACUUUUGUCCAUUUUUACUUAAUUUAUUAUAUAAUGGUCUCAUUAAUGUACUAAGAUUUUGGUAUAAAUUUCUUAUUGUAAUUUAACAAUCCUAAGAAAUUUAAUAUGCCAUAGAAUAUUUGAUUGGCUACUGAAAUAAAAUUUUUUUUACAAUGUCUAUACUAUCACCAAUGAGGGAAGAAAUUUUUUGAAUUUUUAUUAAUUGUCCUACUGGGGAAUGGUUAAAUAUUUUUUCUAGUGCUUGCUUUUGUUGAAGUGUUUUGAGUUUUCUGGUGAUAACUGAUAAGUAAUAAAAUCUGACAUUGAUUUUGCAGUACUAUAUUUUGUCUAAAUAAUUCAUUAUUAGUACUUUCUAAUGCAAUUAACUUUUGUCUACAUUCUUUAAUGGCUUUCAAUGAUCAUUCAAGGUCUCUGUACUUUUCACUCCAUUCUUUUUAUGCCGCUAAUUUAAAAAAAUGCAAGCAAAGAUUCAUUUUCACUUUUGUACAUUAGCUACACAGUAUAAAGAACAAUUGAAAAAAGAAUCUGGAAUUUUCUUGCACUUUACUUUCCCCGUUUUUCAUGCUUGAGCUACAGAGCUAGCCCGAAAAUAUUAUAAGCGGACCCCAAACAAUAAUUAUGUGUUCCUGGUUGACUUGAAAAAUCGAAGUCUUUGGGUCGUGCCUCUGAUAUUUAUUAACACAUAACAUAAGCAUCCACCGAAGACUGAGCCACUGAAGUGCUGAUUCGUGAAGGAUCCACCUGUAUUUAAUUGAAGGAAACUGAAUUUAAGCUUUGCUUCAUUUACUUUAAUUUUCCUUCGUAAGUGACUUGUUUAUUAAUUUGAUGAUAUACUUAUAGAGUCCUACUGAACUUAUGAUCAGGCUAUAUAUUAUUACAAUUAUUGUAUACGGUGACCAUGAUGAAGAUGAUUUUUUUUUUUCCAAGGUCUCAGGACUUGAAUGAAUUUAGAGGAAGGAACGUCGAGACUGGUUUCUGGCGUUGAAAUGAACAGGACCAGUAGGAUCAUGAGAGGAGUAAGAGAAAUAAAUGUUUGUCCAUUUCUGCGUAUUCCGCAGGGUGAAGUAAGAGAAAUAACUGUUUUUGGAGUUCCAUUUCUCUAUAUUCCGCUGCAUGAGGCUUUCUGGCUGUGUUGUUUGUAUUCAAUGGUAUUGGAUCCUGUUUUCUUGUACAUUCCUGUGACCAACGAUGAGAAAAAGUGCUUCCAAUUUGACAGAUGGGUGAUGAGUGUGGUUAUUGCUGAACGUUCAGCAUUUGGUAUAUGGUAUUUGACAAAUAGAACUUCAGAAAUACGGGAGAGUCUACAUCGAAAUUAUAGCAAAUCUCUGUUGCCCGUCUUCCUACUUGAUCUCUCCAUCAUUCUUCCACUCCCACAGGUCAAUGUUUGUUCUGUCUACUUUUAAUUUAUUUGUUCCAACUUGCGAAGGAGGGGCACACACGCACACCUCUGACCGCCCAAAGUAAUUUAUGUUGGAUUCCUAGCAAGCUGUUUGAAAGCUUAAAAGCUUGAAUGAAUAGACUGUUUGGUUACUGAGAAAAUGUAUUUAAAGUGCUAAGAAAAUUUGUAAAAGACUUCUGAAUCAAAUGCUUUAUUUCAUUUUACUUAAUAACAAAAUGAUUACAAGAUGCUUGUAUUUAUACUCAACUGUUUACAGCUUAACAGAAAAUAAAGAAGCUAACUGAAUAUGAUCUUAACGUGUCUAACUAACUUCAGCUGAGCUGGCACUUCACUCUUCAAUUGAUUCAGCUGACUGUAUUCAUCUCACACGUGUGCUGCAUCCUUCCAUGCAUAAUGAGCUUCCUUGACAGCCCCCCUCAAACUCAAGGGGCAUGGUUGCACAUUGAGUUUGUCUAUGAAAUAAUUGAAAUGAAUGAAUGUCAGAGGCUUUGUCAAAGCAUCAGCAAUUUGCUCCUCGCUGGGAAUAUAGUUAAUCUCUAACUCCUUUGCCAAAACUUUGUCUCUAAUAAAGUGCAUAUCCAGUUCAAUGUGUUUAGUCCUUGAAUGAUAAACUGGAUUCUUGGCCAACUCUGUUGCACUUAUAUUAUCACACCAGAUAGUCGGUAAUGAAGUACACUUAAUGUUGAGUUCACUGAAUAAUGGCUGGAUCCAUGUUAUCUCUGCACUUGCAGAAGCCAGAGCACGAUAUUCACUCUCUGCACUGGAUCGUGUAACCACAGCCUGCUUCUUGGAUGACCAUGAAAUUAGAUUGUUUCCAAAAUAAAUGCAACAUGCUCCUAUUGAUUUUCUGUCAUCAACAUCACAUGCCCAAUCUGCAUCUGUAAAUCAUGUGAUCUUCAUUUCCCCACCUGCUGAAAACUUCAAACCAUGAUCUGCAGUUUCCUUAAGGUAUCUAAGAACUCUUUUACAAGCCAUAACAUGCUGGAGUGUUGGAGCUGUCACAUACUGGCUCAACUUAUGCACAUCAAAUGCUAUCUCUGGUCUGGUUAAUACCAGAUAUUGUAAACCUCCAACUAAGCUUCUAUAGCUUGUUGCAUCCUCAAUAUAUUGACCCAAACAGCCUUUGACUUCUUUCUGAAGCUUUGUUCCAGUAACUAUGGGAGUGUCACAGCCUUUACAAUUUUGCAUAUCAGCUUUGGAUAACAAAUCCAAGAUAUAUUUCUUCUGAGAUAAAUAGAUGCAGUCUUUAGCAUAGGAAACUUCUAUCCCCAGAAAAUAUGACAGAAUUCCCAAGUCUUUUAAGGCAAAAGUCUUACUGAAUUCUUAGAUGAAUUUUUCCAGCUCACCAUUAUCAGGUCUUGUUAUUAGAAUGUCAUCAACAUAGAUUAAGAUAAGUAUCAUUGAACCCUGCACUUCUUUGAAGAAGAGAGAGGUAUCAGCCUUUGAAUUCUGAAAUUUCCAAUUAGCAAUAAGACAAUUCUUAAGCUUGUCAUACCAAGCUCUAGGAGCUUGCUUCAAGUCAUACGAGGCUUGAUUAAGCUUACAUAUAUGAUUGGGUUUUUGUUGAUCAAUAAAACCUUCAGGCUAAUACAUAUAGACAUCCUCUGUCAAGUUUCCAUUCAAGAAGGCAUUAUUCACAUCCACUUGCCUUAUUUUCCAUUUAUGCAUCACAGCUAAACUCAGAACAAUCCUUAUUGUUGAAGCUUUUACAACUAAGCUAAAGGUCUCAAAGUAAUCCACACCUUCAGUUUGCUGAAAACCUUUGGCAACCAACCUGGCCUUGUGUUUGGCUAUGCUUCCAUCAGUAUUUUGCUUAAGUCUAAACACCCAUUUGUUGUCAACUACUUUGUAUGCAUUUGAAAAUGGUACCAGUGACCAAGUCUUAUUCUUUAUCAAAGCUUCAUACUCAUCUACCAUGGCUUGAUGCCAAUUCUGACUACUAAGAGCUUCUUGAACUGUACUGGGUUCUUUGUUGGCUAAGGUGACUGUAUAGACCUUUGGUUUGAAGAUUCCAGAUUUUGAUCUGGUAAUCAUUGGAUGAGAAGAUGGUUGGGAAUGAUUUCUAGUUUGAAUUUUGUCUAUGUUAUGUGGAAUAGAAGUUUCCUCUGAUUGUAGAAUGGAUGAUUGUACUGGUAAUGUGUUUGGUGAUAGUGAGGUUGAGGAUGAUAACUCUAAAGAUGUGUGUGAUGGAUGUUCUUGUUGAUUCAGAAUAUCUGUAUGUGUGGGAACAGAGGGCAUUUGUUCACUUCUUGCUGAGCCUGCUGAUUGAAGACCUUCAAAGCUGCUGUUGGGUAAGGCCAUUGUAGAAAGAUGAUAGAUAUGUUGUUGAGAGAAAUUAGACACUGAGGUUUCAGAAGAUAUGGGGUUUUCUGAUGAGUGAGAUGUAGUGUUUAUUGGAUAAGGGAAUGUGUUUUCAUAAAAAAUGACAUGUCUAAGAACAUAGACUUUGCCAGAACUUGCUAAGCACUUGUAUCCUUUAUAAGAGGGAUUGUAUCCAAUAAAAAUGCAUUUAAAGGUGUGAAAAUCAAACUUAUGUUUGUUAAAAUCUCUCAAGUAUGGGUAGCAAAGACAACCAAAACACUUCAGGAAUGUGUAAUCUGGUUUGUGUUUGAAAAGUUUCUCUUAAGGAGAUAAGAAUUUCAGAACAGGGGUAGGCAAUCUAUUAAUAUGAUACACUGCUGUAUGAACAGCUUCCCACCAGAAUUGAAGAAAAAUGUUUGCUUGAGCCAUGAGGGUUAAGCCUAGCUCAACUAUAUGCAUGUGUUUCCUCUCAACAAUACCAUUCUGGUGAUGAGUGUAAGGACAUGAGUGUCUAAACAUUAUUCCAUUUUGAUUCAGAAAAUCAAUAAAUGCUCUAAACUCUCCCCCAAGGUCAGAUUGUAGCCUCUUAAUUUUGGUAUCAAACUGAUUCUCAACUUGAGUUUUGAACAAUUUAAAAACUUCAAAUGCUUGUGAUUUAACAGUUUCUAUGUUAUCUGCUUUCAAACACUGUGAUAAUAGUACUCGAGCUUGCUAUCAGUUUGUUUUAAAUAAGUGUAAUGUCAAACCUGAUAUGAUAACUUUGUUACAUAGAAAGUUUGGUCAUCCAAGCUCAAUGACAUUGGUGCAUUUGCUCAAAUCAUGUAAACAGUUUAAAGUCUCUCCAAAAGACAUGUUAUCUUCUGCAAAUACUUUAUGUGAAGCAUGUCAGCUAGGCAAAGUCCAUAAGCAACAUUUCUCAAUAACUGAAACAAAAACAAAAGGGGUAUUAGAAUUGAUUCAUACUGAUCUUUGGGGGCCUUCACCCACUGUGUCUAGAGAUGGAUACAAAUACUAUAUUAGUUUUGUGGAUGAUUAUACUAGGUACUCUUGGAUCUAUCCUCUUAAGCUCGAGUACUAUUAUCACAGUGUUUGAAAGCAGAUAACAUAGAAACUGGUUUAUUUGGUUGGGAUUUACAAAGAUAAGAUGUAGGUGAUGAAGAAAGAGAAUUAGAUUUCAGCAGCAGCUUGUAAAGGCCUUUUUCAGCAAUACCCUGCAGAAGAACUUGACCCUUUAUGUCCUUCACAAAACAAACAUUUCCACAAAAUUCAACAGAUACAGGAUUAUCAGAUGUGAGUUUGGAAAUACUUAAUAGAUUUUUGGCAAUUGAAGGAGCAAGUAACACAUCUUUAAGUGUUAUUCUAGCAUGUGUAGAUAAAGAUUUAGAAGCUCUUAAUACCAGAAAUGCAUGUCCAACAUGAGUAAUAGACAAACCUUGACCAUUUCGAAUGAUAAGCUGAUCAGUACCUUUAAACUCUUCAUUGAUAUGCAAAUUCUCCAUAUUGUUGGUUAAAUGGUGAGUUGCCCCACUAUCCAGAUACCAUCCAUCAUCAGCAGUCCCUUCAAAAUUAGCCAUGAAAGCUGUUCCAGCUGCUCCAGAAGUGUAUCCAUCCGUUCUAGAAUAGUAACUAUUGCCAGAUAUAGAAUCAUAACCUGGAAACAUAUUAUUAUUUUCAUAGCCAAAAUCUGGAUUAGAAGUAGAGCCAUCAAAGUUUGAGAAAUAUGCUGCUCUUGGUGUUUUUUCCCUGCCAAAACCUCUUGGAACAGGUACAAAGUCUUCAACAAAUCGGUGCCAACAAACAUCAGCUGUAUGACCAUUCUUAAAGCAAAUCUGACAUACCAGCUCCCCAGCAUUAUUAAAGCUUCCUUGUGAUCCACUCAUAUUAGCACCAUUUCUAGCUAGAAAGGAUGAGUUCUUAGGUACUGGAUUCCUAGGAGCUGAAAAAUGAUUGAAAUCAGCUGAGUUAUUUCUAGGAAAAAAUCCUCUGCCAUAUCCAUUUCUAACACCUCCAUUAAAUAUUCUUGGAGAGUAAUUCAUAUUUGCUCUGCCAAAGAAAGGAGUUCUACCACCAGAAUAACCUCCUCGUUUAAAACUUCCUCUACGUUGUGCAAAAUAAGCUCUAGGAUAAUAUGCAUUCGUAUAUGCAUAGUUUGCAUUAAACAUACUUCUGUCACCUUGCUCCUGCUCUAAUCUAGUCUCAUGAGUGAGUAACAGUGCAUAAGCAUCAUCAAAUUCCAUUCGUGAACCAUUUAUAAAUGUAGCAAUAUCACGAACUCCUGGUCCUAAUCCAUUAAGAAUAGUUAACAUAAGAUCCUUCUCUGUAAUUGAACUACCAGCAUUGGCUAGCUUAUCAGCUAUUGCUUUUAUUUUAAUACAAUAAUCUUCAACACUAAGAGCUUCCUUUUUAAGAAUGUUUAGUUCAUAUCUGAGCUGAAGAACUCGAGCUUCAAAUUGAACUCCAAAUUUCUUUUCCAAAGUUUUCCAUAUAUCAAAUGAACUCUCACAAUUGAUAACAAGACUUAAGAUACCUUCACUUAAUGAUGACAGUAGCCAGCCAAGAAGUGUCUGAUCCUGUGAUCUCCAGAUCUGAUAUUCUGGAUUUUCAAUUUGUUGUGUAGAUCCAUUUGCUUGAGUUAACAGAAGACACUUAUCAGGUACUGAUUUGGCUCCUGUGACGAAAUCUUCCAAACGAUUGCCUCUUAUUGAAGCUAAAACUUGAGAGCGCCAGAGUAAGUAAUUUGAUCGAUCUAACUUGAUAGGAUUAGUAAAGGAGAAGUUGAUUUGAGUAGAUUGAUUUGUGUUGUUUGUUGUUUGAUUACGAAAGCUUGACUGUUGAUUACUAGAACUAGCUCUGUAUGGCUCUGAUACCAUGUUUGAAAGCUUAAAAGCUUGAAUGAAUAGACUGUUUGGUUACUGAGAAAAUGUAUUUAAAGUGCUAAGAAAAUUUGUAAAAGACUUCUGAAUCAAAUGCUUUAUUUCAUUUUACUUAAUAACAAAAUGAUUACAAGAUGCUUGUAUUUAUACUCAGUUGUUUACAGCUUAACAGAAAAUAAAGAAGCUAACUGAAUAUGAUCUUAACGUGUCUAACUUACUUCAGCUGAGCUGGCACUUCACUCUUCAAUUGAUUCAGCUGACUGUAUUCAUCUCACACGUGUGCUGCAUCCUUCCAUGCAUAAUGAGCUUCCUUGACACAAGCAUGUAUAGGUUGUAUUUUGUACGAUUAAUUUUCUUUUUUUUUUAAUAUUUACAAACUAUUCAGGUGUUGGUGCUUCUAGCUUAUAGUCAAAGAAUUAGUGGCCAGGAAUUUUUCUCUCUGAUGAACCUGUUUCUUGUACAACAUGGGUUAAAGGUUAUCCGAUUGGCUAAAUUGAUUACAGAAUGGAAGAAUUCAUAUAACCUUAAUAAAUGGGCCAAUCUGACGUUCAAUUUCGGUUACCUACAGGCUGCUAACGUAAGUUUACUUGCCUCUUAAGUCUCCAAAAUGUUCUAUUUCUCUUUACUGUUUUUUGGGUAAUUUAUAGUUCCUGGUGAUCUACUUGACGGUUCUUUAGGUGUUUGGAUCAUUAUGGUACUUUUUCGCUGUACAAAGAAAGGCUGAAUGUUGGAAGAAAGCCUGCACAGAUUUUACCAGAUGUGAUUUCCUUCCUUUGCACUGCGAUGACAGUUUAACAAACUACACAUUUUUUAGUGAUUUUUGCUCUACAAAGACCCAAAAUGCAACUAUCUAUGAUUUUGGGAUAUUCCGUGAUGCUAUUCAAUCGGGUGUUUUGGAUCAAAACUAUUUUUUUCGGAGGUACUUGCCUUGUUUUCAAUGGAGCCUGCAAGCUCUCAGGUUAAGGCUUACAUUUAUCUUGAGCAAUAAGCACAAAGAUCCAAUUCUACUAGUGAGCAAAAAACACGAGGGACAUGAUAAGACUUGCAGCCUCUCGGGGCCAAAAGUUUGGUUAAUGAACCGUAGAUUGAGACUAUGCAUAUGGAUAAGUUCUAACCUCAAGUCGUAACUAUUAGUUGCCUGCGGCCCCAACUCAAUCAAAAGGUGCUACAGAAAUUACAUAUUUAUUGGAAAUUUUUUUUUUUUGGUUGUUUGAUUAAUUGUGCAUGAAGUCAAAGUCUUGAGGAACCACAGUGUCUAGAUACUUAUUAGCACAUAAGAUAAGCAUGCUCUGAACUCCGAAGACUCAGCCACUGAAGUGAUGAUUUGUGAAGGAUCCACCUGUAUUUAAUUGAAGGAAACUGAAAUCAAGCUUUGCUUCAUUUACUUAAAUUUCCCUUCCCCUUCGUUGAUUAUGUAAGCCUUAAGCGAGUUGUCUAUUAAUUUAAUGACAUACGUAUAGAACCCUACUGAGCUGAAGUGCAAGCUAUGUAUUAUUACAAUUAUCGUAUAUGGUGAUGACGAUGAAGUUGACUUUAUUUUUUCAGGUCUCGGGACUUGAAUUUAGAGGAAGGAACGCCGAGACGAGUUGCUAGUGUUGAAAUGGACUGCAUCAGUUGGAGCGCGAGAGAAGCAGCAAAAUCUGUUUAUCGCACUCUGAACGAAAGCUUGGGUAAUGGAGGAAAAACAUGCCUUCAGCAGAUUCGUGAUCUGCCGAUACGUUUCCUGGAAGUUAAUUUUUUGCUGAUUUAUGUGUAUUCCAUGGUAUUUGAUCCUGUUUUCUUGUACCUUCCCGUGAUCAACGAUGACAAAAAGUGCUUCCAAUUUGACAUAUGGGCUUUGAGGGUGGGUAUUGUUGAACGCACAGGAUGUGAUAUAUAUUUUUUGAUAAAUAAUGCUUUUCAACUAUGGGAGAAUUGGCAUCGAAAUUAUAGCAUAUCUCUGUUGCCCGUCUUCCUAUUUGAUCUCGCCAUCAUUCUUCCACUCCCACAGGUAAAUGUUUGUUCUGUCGUACUUUUUACUUAUUUGUUCCAAUUAGCCAAGCAAGGGCACGCGCGCACACCUAUGGACGCCCAAACCAAUUUAUGUUGGAUUUCUAGCAAGCACACAGGUUGUAAUUUUUUUCUUUUCAUAUGGAAUCAUAUUUCAUAAUUGAUAAUUCUAUCUUUAUGGUGUACAAACUGUUCAGGUGUUGGUGCUUCUAGUUUAUAGUAACGUGAUGAGUGGCAAGAAAUUUUUCUCUGUGAUGAACCUGUUUAUUGUCCAACAUUUGCUAAAGGUUAUCCGAUUGUAUGCAUUGAUUAAAGAAAGGAAGAAUUCAUAUAAACAAACUAAAUGGGCCAGGCUCACGUUCAAUCUCUUUUACCUACAUGCUGCUAAUGUAAGUUUACUUGCCUCCCAAGUCUCCAAUAUAUUCUAUUUCUCUUUACUCUUUUUGGGUAAUUUAUAAUUCCUGAUGAUCUAAUUGAUGGUUGUUUAGGGGUUUGGAGCAUUAUGGUACUUUUUUGCUCUACAAAGAAAGACCGAAUGUUGGAGGAAAGCCUGCACAGAUUCUGCCAAAUGCCGUCUCCUUCCCUUACACUGUGACAACAGUUUAACAAACUACACAUUUUCUAAUGAUUUUUGCUCUACAAAGACUCAAAUUGCAACUACCUACCAUUUUGGGAUAUUCUAUGAUGCUAUUAAUUCUAGUGUUAUUGAGCAAAACAAUUUAUUUCUGAGGUUCUUCCCUUGUAUUCGAUGGAGCCUGCAAAAUCUCAGGUUAAGUUGUGGAUAUACAUCAUUCUCCUUGUAACAAUCUUUGUGCAUAUGCCUUUCUAUGUUUUUGGUGCAUAUAAUUACGCAUACGUAUUUUUAUGUUUUUUUAGCAAUUAAACUCAAAAACAUUAGUUCUAAUAAAUUUGUGGGUUUGACUUUGCAGUUCUUUUGGUCAAGGUCUCCCAUUCAGUACCAAUGUCUUGGAAAACAUCUUUGUGAUUUCAAUUACCAUCACUGGGGUAGUGCUGUUUUUCUUCUUGAUUGGAAAGGUCCAGGUUGGUGUAUCUUUAUUUUAUUUUAUUUUAUUUUAUUUUCUCGUCUGAUUCUUGUCUCUUAAAAUGGGUUCUUUAUGGUUGAUUGAGAUGAAGCACAAUAAAUUUUAAUUUUCUAUGAACUAUGAUUCUUGCGCAAUUUGCAGUCUGAAAUGUCAAAAGCAGAGGAGAUAAGACAGAAGGUACAAGAAAUAUACAAGUGGCGGCCCGUUGAAAAGCUCCCUGAGAAACUCCAAAUGGAGAUCAAGGAACAUCAGUUAUCCAAAGUGCAAGAAACCACAGGUAUUGAUGUAGAAUAUCUGGUGAACAAUCUUCCAGAGGACCUCAGGAAGAACAUAAAACAAAAACUCUGCUUAGACCUGCUAAAAAAAGUGAGUAAGAGAUCUUUACAACUAUAUUUGUGCCUCCUACUUCUGAAUUUGUGGAACUGACAAAGGAGAGGCUAGCAGCAUAUAAACAACAAUCCGAAAAACUAAUGAAAAUAUUUUCCUCUUCUUUAACUCGAUCGAAUAAACUCAAGGGUAAAUGUUUGUAACUAUUUGAACUUUUGCAUGGUUUUGAAAGCGCAAUAGCUAAAGUCCACAUCACCUCAACAUAAACUCAACCCUGAUAUGUUUUUAGCGUUGGGGAAUGAAUCUCAUUUUAGCUGAGAUAGUUCUAGAUCAACUUUUAUUUUCAAUUUUCUGCAUUCAGAAGCUGAAUUUCAUUAUCAGCAUUGAGCCUUUUAGAUUACAGUAACAAUAUUGGAUGUAUGUUUGUAUAGGUAGAAGAGUUUGGAAACUUGGAUGGUUCAUCGUUGGAGAAACUGUGUGAUGUUGUGAAGCCAGCUGUCUUCACAGAGCGCUCUUACAUUAUCCAGGAGGAAAACCCAAUUGAUCAAAUGCUCUUCGUGCUACAAGGCAAGUUAUGGACCUACACUUCCAGGAGGGUAACUGAAUUAUCAAGCAAUUCUGGUAACCUGAACAACCAUCUGGAAGGUGGUGACUUUUCUGGAGAAGAACUCAUUGCUUGGGCGAAGGCUGGCCACAACUCAUCCAACCUCCCUAUAUCAACUAAAACAAUCCAAGCGCUUACAAAAGUUGAAGCAUUUGUUCUUAUGGCAUAUGAUUUAAAGCAGGUACUAUUGAAUAUUGAUAAUUAAGCAAAACAAUGCAGCUACCGUAUGCAAGUAUUCUGACAAACUAGAUGGAGUGCGCAAGCGUCGGCUACUAAAAUAAUAGUUUGAGCAUUCAGAUCAGAUGCGGCAUCGUUAGUAUUUUAGGGCGUGUUCAUGAUCUUAAUUAAGGACCUAUCCCAAGAAUAAAUUUGGACGGAAGUAUAUGAGUUUGAGAUAUUCGAAACCGAAGCCUGAUACAGUUGAUGUGUAUAUAUAUGAAGUUAGCAUUACUCCGUUAUAGUGUUUGAUUAUAUAUAUUUUCUAUGUCCUAAUUUCUAGUUCGGAUGGCAGUAUGGACCGUCUCUUUUCCAGCAAAAUGUAUCAUUCAGAAAUUAUGCGUACACCAAGGGAGUAAGCAUUUAACUGCUAAACUUCAGUCCGUAAUGGAAUUACCAAGCUCUAACACACGCGCGCAGAGUUGACUCACAAGAGAACUUAACAAACUAAUAUCUUGGCUUGCUUGUGGCACUGUCAGCACUCAGUAAAGAUGGGAAAAUUCUUAGGUGACUUGGAUGAUGAAGAUAAUAGAAAUUAUAACUAGUAGAGAUACAUCGAAUGAUAUUAAAUUAGUGUGUUCCUGAUUUUAAUAUUUAUUCCAUCCUAUAAUGGGAAAAUUUUAUUAAUCAAUCCAUCGCUAAGAUGGCCACUGGCAAAACUUUUAUAAUAAAAGAAAAUCUAAAUUGAACGAUAAUCAUAUAAUUUUCAUGAAGUUUAAAAGUAAGCUAUUAAUAUAAUAAAAUAAGUAUUAAUUGUCAAAUGAGAACUGUUGAUGUUGAAAUCUGCUCGCCCUUUACCCGACCAGAUUUUCCACCAACGUUUAUAUGUUUGAUGGGACGAUGUCACUCUCUCCUUGCCUUAACGACCGCUUACGUCACUAGGUUGAAAUCACCCCUUUUUAUCUCGCUAAUCCUGCAUUCACAAAGAAAUGGAUCAGAGACGCCGGUGGUUUUACCGGCGUAAACCCUCCGAUGCCUAAGUUAGCACAAGGUGUUUACGGGAAAACGGUUCAAUUUAGAUUUCAGAAUGGCUUACGAUUCGCUCUCAAUUUAGGCAGAAAAACAGUCUAGUUUCAUUUUGGCAGAGUUUUCCCUCUCUCUCAGUUUUCUUAUCUCUUUUUCAUUGGUUUCUUCCUCUUUUAUAGCCGCUGUCCCACGUUUCUGAUCACCCUUCAUCCCCCCUUUCUCGGGUCAUGGCAGCCCCUCAUGGGACUCCAACUGCUACAUUGUGGGCAAACAUGGGACAUCGUGUCUCCCUCAACAGUUCUGGGAAAAGCGCAACUGUCGAGAUCUUGUGAGAUCGUGUUCCCGCUCUUUGGGGAAUGAGUAUCUGCUCGGUAUAUGUCUCUGGUCGGUGUAUCCCCCUGGCCGGUACUCAUCUUUGGUCGGUCCAUGCUUGUAUAAGGCUCAUUAUCAGUGCUCUGCUCGUACCAUUUGGCUGAGGUGACCCACCCCGGGGUGGGGAUGAUGAUAUGGCAGAGCUGAUGCUCUUAUUUACUUAACAAGAACCAUGAUACAUUGCUAUAAUCAGAUCAUCAACAAAGUCUCCAAGGUCAAGCUCAAGGCGUAACCCCUCGUCUACAUAUAUCAUAAUCAUCCUAUAAACUAUAACAUGGGAAGCACUAAAUCUCGCUAAUCAUAAAUAAAUGGGAUGAUUGCUAUGAAUCAUUAGGACGCGCAGAUUCGUUGACUUGGAGUUGGAGAAUCACUAAGUACGCUCACCUCCCUCUUCAAAAAUGCAGGCAACGCGGAGGCAACUAUAUAAUUGAAUCUGUCAACACAACACAAAUAUUAAAUGCAGGCCAUCAUACUUUCUCAUCUAACACAGUAACACUACCAAAAUAUUAACUCAAUGACAAUUCAACCACACAAGCAUUUAGGUUAUCUAAGAAAAAGAAUCAAGAAGCAACGACCAAGGAAAGCUAGACUUGAAAUGAGGAGCCUUUACCUCUGAGGUAUAGAACCUUAAUUCUCUUUUAUGCUUGUCAGCUCCAUCCAACUUCUCAAUAGGAUAGAUGGGGUUCGCAAAAUCAACAUGAGGUCCCUCUGUUGAGCAUAUCAGAAACCCAAUGACACCACCGUAACCAAGAAAAGAACCCUCAAUCGUAAAAAGAUUUCACAGGAUACAUUCAAUUCCAUAACCAAAUCUUGUGUCUGGACUUAUGCAAUCUAAAGCAUAAACAACAAAUUUCCCACUUCUCAAAACAUCAUUAAGUAGAAAAUUCAAAGUUUGAACUUAAUGAUAAAAACAAUUGAGAUUAAUAUCGUUUCUGAAGCUGUCAAACUUCAAAAAAAUGAUUAUCAAAAGAUUAAUAGAACUACAGAUAUCAAUAGAACGGAGUGCAACAUUACCUUGGGUAUAUUGCCAAAACAUCAAACAGUUAUUUUCCUAAACAAGCAACAGUAUUUUAUAUAAUCUUAAAAAUUUUCCAAAACAUAAGUACCAAGUUUAUAUUGCCGAAACAGAACCAUUUGACAAUUUAAAUAUAAGUUAGCCACCCAUUUUAUUCAGUACAUGAAAUGAAUAAAUAAACGCUAAUGCAUCCAUAACUCUUUAUGAACACUAAUUAUUCUUGAAAUAAAAUUUUUUUUUGUGACAAUCGCUUUACUUAUUAUUUAUUGUAAUUCGUCCUUAAUCUGAUGCCUCUGGAAGAUUUAUAAUUCCUAUGGCCAUCCAAAAUGCAUAAAUAAAUGCUCAUCAGUUGAGGCCUUGUAAGCUGUGAAAGAUUACUUAUUGACUUUGGAAAGAGUUUUAAUUUAACAAUCACAUUAUCUUGAUUUGUAUGUUUUAAGUUUAAAUAUUUGUAAUAAUAGAUUACAGAUAAUGAGAUAAAUAUAACUAAAUUAUUGGAUUCAAUUUAUAAGAGAGAAAAAUUCUUUGGUACUUGAAGAGUAUUAUUUUUUAUCUAUUCAUUUUAAUAUGUAUAUAAAAUAUUAUUACGAAUAAUUAAUAUAUAACCACAAUAAAUAAUUAAUAAUUUAAAAAACACACAGAAUAAUAAUACACUUAAAACACUCAAUAAUUUUACCCAAUUCUUUGAUGACUGGAUAAAGAUGGCCACCGACAAUGAUAUUUACUUUAUUUUUUUUAGUUUUUGUUUGUUUUGUUCAUUGGGUGUGCAAUAAAAUUAAUCCAGAAUUUUUUUAUUAUUAAAUAAUAAAAAAUUUAAUUUUUGAUUGGUGCCGUGCACUCCUGUUGUAAAAUGGAGACAUGUAGUAGUCAUAUCGAUUUUAUUAUUGUAACUAACAAAAUUUGAAACUUGCGUGCAGUGCAAUCAAUUCAAAAUUUAAAAAUUGUGAAAGAAGUUGUUGUGCAUUUGUGCUUCUCAGUUUCCUAUCAACCACGCCCACUAGGAGUGGGCAUAUUUUAACCGAACCGAUCCAAACCGAUCAUUUGGAUCGGUUUCAUUAGUAAAAAAACUGAUUUUAGUUUAUUGGAUUGCAAACCGACAUCACUCGGUUUGGAUUUCGGUUUGGAAGGAUUCCAAACCGAUUCAAACCGAUCCAAUCUAGAAAUAUUAUAUAAUUACAUUAUAUUCUAAGUUAAGCAAUCUAACUAAUUAUAUUUAUCAUUUUAUGCAGAUUUUGACAAAUCAAAAGUAAUUGGGCCAUAAGUUUUGACGGACAAGAUGCACAAUAUUUUAAUUGUCAAAUGUUGUUUAAGUUUAUUUUAAUUUUGUGAGUUUGUUUUGAAUGAACAUGUUAAGAACAUCUUUAUUAGGAUGUAUUAUGCUGCAAACUUGUAUGGAUGUAUCUUUGAAUUGUUAUGUAGAUAUCAAAGUAGAUAUGAAUAAUAUAAAAGAGGUAUCAAUUUGGAUUACGGACACAAAAAAAAACAAAUAAUUUAGGUAAAAUAAUAUAAAAGAAGUGGGCUUUUAGCUAAUAAGCUCAAACCGAGGAUCCAAACCGAUCCAAACUGAUCCAAUCAGUUUGGAUCGGUUCGGUUUGAAAAAAUUUUAGGUUGAUAUCGGUUUGAAAAUAUUUCAAACCGAUCCAAACCGAAUUUGCCCACCCCUAACGCCCACACACUUGCCUUUGCGAAUACACGGCUUCACAAAAAUUAAGAUUACGUGAUUCACCCAUUCGCAAGUAUUCGUAGUUCAUUAAAUAUUUUCGACUACUCUCACCAACCAAACUAACAGAAUUAAUUUUUUUUCUUUUUACCAUUGCCUAAUAAUAAUUAUGAACAGAUUGUCAUCUCAUUCAUUCACCAAUACCCAACAACAUAUAAGAACCAAGCACCUAACACAAACACGAUAUUGAAUGAAUCUUAAUAAAAAAAAAAAUCAAUGCACGAAUGUACGAGAACUGUAAUUAAAAAUUUAAUAAUUGCGAAACCAAAAUGAACAGCAAGAAGCAAGCAAACCCCUAAAAGCUUUAAUCUUUAAUUUGUUUUACCAUUAAUUUACAAAACCAAAGAAACCGAAGCCUGUUCAAGUGCCUGGUAGAAUCAGAAAUGCAUUUUUUUUUUAACCAGAAAGGGUGUUAAAAAUUGUACCUUUAACAACUUUUCAGGGAGUGAGAAAGUGUUUAUGCAAUGCACUUGAAAAAGGGUUUGUGAAAUUUUUAUUUGUUAUUGAGUUCGACACUUUCUGUCGCGAGAAAGUGAGAGAAAACUGGAAGGAACAUAAUGAGAUGGGAGAUUGUGGUCGGCACGUGCCAGAUUCGUUCAUGUGUGACACGUGGCGGAAUCUUUAAUGAUGUAAAACUCUACAUCAACGAGAUUACAAAUCCAGAUGAAGAUACCUUAACCGUCCUUUGUUUGCCUGCCACGGACGUAUAUUGCAGUGUAAUUUUCUUUUGAUAAAAAUGAGACAUUUCUCGUAUCAUAAGUAAGCCCCAGCACAAUUUUCUGACUGUAAAAGUGAAAAAUACAAUAGUAUUGGCAGACAGUAAUUACAGUAUGACAUUAAAAUUUAUAUACAAAGUAUUUAGACUUCUAUUACCUGGUUUAUAUACUACAAUCUAGACAUCAUAAGAUGGUCAGAGAAUCAACAAAAGACAAUGAAAUUCAAUCACGUAAUAUGCUCAUAUAGUGAACUAAGUUAUGUCUGAGAGUGACGAGCCAGAAAAAAUUUUCGAUUGGAUCAAAUUCAACAUAUAAUACAAUGUCAUCUCUUAAUGAAAUUCAGCUGACUGAAAAAAUGUUUUGCACCCGCAGUCAUCUGAGUUCAAAUAAUAAUAAAGGGUGAGAAUUAGUCUUUAACAAAUGAGAUUUCUUUAUCUCCAUUUUAAACCCUUAUUAGUAUAAUACAAUUUCAUAAGAAUUUAAAUAACAAUAUAUGACCAUUGAUUUAUUUUUUACACAAAAAUUCAGUGUUUGAACUAGCAGUAAGUAAGUUCAAUUUUUGAACUAGAGAUAAGCACUGAACUUUUCAUAAUUUUAAAACUCAAAUGGGAUAUUUUUAUAAAAUCAAAGGAAGUAAGGUCAGAGGUCUUCAAAAAUUUUCUAAAGCGACCGGGGACGCAGGCCCCGACUGUUCCUACCAUUGCUCAAAUUUGUAAUGGGCAUCGUGACAUUGUUCACAAGUUUGGAUUUGGAUUCUUAACAAGUUCAUAUUUGUAAGGCUUACAUUUAUCUUGAGCAAUAAGCACAAAGACUCAAUUCUACUAGUGAGCAAAAAACACGAGGGACGUGAUAAGGCUUGCAGCCUCUCGGGGCCAAAAUUUUGGUUAAUGAACCGUAGAUUGAGAAUGUGCAUAUGGAUAAGUUCUAACCUCAAGUCGUAACUAUUAGUUGCCUGCGGCCCCAACUCAAUCAAAAGGUGCUACAGAAAUUACAUAUUUAUUGGAAUUUGUUUUGUUUUUUUGGUUGUUUGAUUGAUUGUGUAUGAAGACAAAGUCUUGAGGAACCACAGUGUCUAGAUACUUAUUAGCACAUAAGAUAAGCAUGCUCUGAACUCCGAAGACUCAGCCACUGAAGUGAUGAUUUGUGAAGGAUCCACCUGUAUUUAAUUGAAGGAAACUGAAAUCAAGCUUUGCUUCAUUUACUUAAAUUUCCCUUCCCCUUCGUUGAUUAUGUAAGCCUUAAGCGAGUUGUCUAUUAAUUUAAUGACAUACGUAUAGAGCCCUACUGAGCUGAAGUGCAAGCUAUGUAUUAUUACAAUUAUCGUAUAUGGUGAUGACGAUGAAGUCUCGGGACUUGAAUUUAGAGGAAGGAACGCCGAGACGGGUUGCUAGUGUUGAAAUGGACAGCAUCAGUAGGAGCGCGAGAGAAGCAGGAAAAUCUGUUUAUCGCACUCGGAUCGAAAGCUUGAGUAAUGGAGAAAAAACAUCCCUUCAGCAGAUUCGUGAUCUGCCGAAACGUUUCCUGGAAGUUAAUUUUUUGCUGAUUUAUGUGUAUUCCAUGGUAUUUGAUCCUGUUUUCUUGUACCUUCCCGUGAUCAACGAUGACAAAAAGUGCUUCCAAUUUGACAUAUGGGUUUUGAGGGUGGGUAUUGUUGAACGCACAGGAUGUGAUAUAUAUUUUUUGAUAAAUAAUGCUUUUCAACUAUGGGAGAAUUGGCAUCGAAAUUAUAGCAUAUCUCUGUUGCCCGUCUUCCUAUUUGAUCUCGCCAUCAUUCUUCCACUCCCACAGGUAAAUGUUUGUUCUGUCGUACUUUUUACUUAUUUGUUCCAAUUAGCCAAGCAAGGGCACGCGCGCACACCUAUGGACGCCCAAACCAAUUUAUGUUGGAUUCCUAGCAAGCACACAUAGGUUGUAAUUUUCUUUUUCUUUUCAUAUGGAAUCAUAUUUCAUAAUUGAUAAUUCUAUCUUUAUGGUGUACAAACUGUUCAGGUGUUGGUGCUUUUAGUUUAUAGUAACGUGAUGAGUGGCCAGAAAUUUUUCUCUGUGAUGAAACUGUUUAUUGUCCAACAUUUGCUAAAGGUUAAGCGAUUGUAUGCAUUGAUUAAAGAAAGGAAGAAUUCAUAUAAACAAACUAAAUGGGCCAGGCUUACGUUCAAUCUCUUUUACCUACAUGCUGCUAAUGUAAGUUUCCUUGCCUCCCAAGUCUCCAAUAUAUUAUAUUUCUCUUUACUCUUUUUGGGUAAUUUAUAAUUCCUGAUGAUCUACUUGAUGGUUGUUUAGGGGUUUGGAUCAUUAUGGUAUUUUUUCGCCGUACAAAGAAAGGCUGAAUGUUGGAAGAAAGCCUGCACAGAUUUUACCAGAUGUGGCCUCCUUCCUUUACACUGUGAUGACAGUUUAACAAACUACACAUUUUCUAGUGAUUUUUGCUCUACAAAGACUCAAAAUGCAACUAUCUAUGAUUUUGGGAUAUUCCGUGAUGCUAUUCAAUCUGGUGUUUUGGAUCAAAACAAUUUUUUUCGGAGGUACUUUCCUUGUUUUCAAUGGAGCCUGCAAACUCUCAGGUUAAGUUGUGAAUAUACAUCAUUCUUCUCUUAACAAUCUUUUUGUGUACGCCUUUCUUUGUUUUUUGUGCAUAUAUUAAAGCAUACGUAUGUUUGUGUUUUUUAUCAAUUAAGCUCAAAACAUUGGUUCUAACACAUUUGUGGGUUUGACUUUUGCAGUUGUUUUGGUCAAGGUCUCCCGUUAAGUACCAAUGUCUUGGAAAACAUCUUUGUAAUUUCAAUUACCAUCACUGGGGUAGUGUUGUUUUUCCUUUUGAUUGGAAAGGUUCAGGUUGGUGUACCUUAUUUUUUUCAUUUUUUUCUUUUAAUCAUCUGCAUCUUGUCUCUCAAAAUUGGUUUUUAUGCUUGAUUAAGAGGAAGCGCAAUAAAUUUUACUUUUCUAUGAACCAUGAUUCUUGGGCAAUGUGCAGUCUGAAACGUCAAAAGUAUAUGAGAUAAGACAGAAGGUACGAGAAAUAGACCGGUGGCUGCCCUUUGGAAAGCUCCCUAAGAAACUCCAAAAGGAGAUCAAGGAAUAUCAGAAAUCGAAAUUGCAAACCACGGGUGUUGACGUAGAGUAUGUGGUGAAUCAUCUUCCAAGGCACCUCAGAAAUAACAUAAAACAGAAGCUCUGCUUAGACUUGCUAAAAAAAGUGAGUGAGAAAUCUUUACAACUAUAUUUGUGUCUGCUAUUCGUUAAUUUGUGAAAUUGACAAAGGAGAACUAAUAAAAAUAUUUUGCUCUUUUGUAGCCAAUCGAAUGAACUCGAGGGUAAAUGUUUGUAACUGUUUGAACUUUUGCAUAGUUUUGAAAGCGCAAUCGCUAAAGUCCACAUCACCUCAACGUGAACUCAAACCUGAUAUGUUUUAGUGUUAGGGAAUGAAUCUCAUUUCAGCUGAGAUAGUUCUAGAUGAAGUUUUAUUUUCAAUUUUCUUCAUUCAGAAGCUGAAUUUCAUUAUCAGCAUCAUGCCUUUUAGAUUAUAGUAACGAUAUUGGAUGUAUGUUUGUAUAGGUAGAAGAGUUUGGAAACUGGAGUGAUUCAUCGUUGGAGAGAUUGUGUGAUGUUGUGAAGCCGGUUGUCUUCACAGAGCGCUCUUACAUUCUCCGGGAGGGAAACCCAAUUGAUCAAAUGCUCUUCGUGCUGCAAGGCAAGUCAAGGACCUACACUUCCAGGAGCAUAACUGGAUUCUCAAGCAAUUCUGGUAACCUGAACAACCAUCUGGAAGAUGGUGACUUUUCUGGAGAAGAACUCAUUGCUUGGGCGAAGGCUGACCGCGACUCAUCCAACCUUCCUAUAUCAACUAAAACAAUUCAAGCUCUUACAAAUGUU